ensembl:lncRNA
ACUCAACACAACAUUGCUUCUACACUUGAUGCAUUUAAUCGGAUGGUUGUACUCUUUACUUUUUUUUAGUUAUUGGAACUCAUUGCAAGUCUGUAGACCUGUCUGUUGACAAGAAAAUAGCAGCUGCUAAUAUUUCUGUUGUUAGGGACCAAUUCUGUUGUUCGAUCUGUCUGGACAUAUUGAAGGAUCCAGUGGCAAUUCCUUGUGGACACAGGUACUGUAUAGACUGUAUUGAGGACUGCUAGGAUCAGGAUGAUCAGAGGGGAGUAUACAAAUGCCCCCAGUGCAGACAGACCUUCUUCCCAAGGCCUGUUUUGAACAGAAACACAAUGCCUGCUGAAUUGGUGGAGGAAUUGAAGAAGACAGGACUCCAAGCUGCUCCACCUGCUCACUAUUACACUGGACCUUUGGAUUUGGAGUUUGAUGUCUGCAUCUUGUUCACCUGUCCUUGUGAUUGUCUCCACCCCCUCCAGUCUCUGUUUGUUUCUAGUCCUCCUGGUUUCGACCCUUGCCUGUCCUAACUCCGAACCCGCCUGCCUGCCACUCUGCCUGUUCUGAUUACCAGCCUGCCUAUCCUCUUGCACUGUUUUGGACUCGGAUCUGGUUUCUGACCCCUGCCUGGCCUGACUUUGAGAUUGCCUAUCGUCUGGUACUGUUUGGACUCUGACCUGGUUUAUGAACUCUUGCCUGUUCCUUACCUGCCUUUGCCUACUCCUUUUGUUUUAAUACAUAUCGGAGCUCUACCAUCUGCCUCCUGUGACCAAGGGUUCAAGGCAAUAAUGGAGCAAAUCAGUGAAUUAGAUCAUAGGCAACCUUCCUACUUGUAGUGGAUUGGUUCAACCUUCCCCGGCUCCCCGAGAGCCCCGCUUACCUCCUCCGGAACGUUAUGCAGGCAAUUAUGGUACCUGCGGGGCGUUCCUUUCCCAGUGCUCUCUCAUAUUCAAACUCCAGCCCUCUUCAUUCCUGUCGGACCGUUCAAGGAUAGCGUAUUUAAUCACGCUAAUGUCUGGAAGGGCAUUCUCCUGGGCAACUGUCACGUCCUGACCAUAGAAAUCCUUUAUUUUCUAUGGUAGAGUAGGUCAGGGCGUGACUAGGGGGGUUAGUCGAGUUUAUAUUUUCUAUGUGGGUUCUAGGUUGUUUUUUUUCCCUAUGUUGGGGUUUUGGUAUGAUUCCCAAUUAGAGGCAGCUGGUUAUCGUUGUCUCUAAUUGGGGAUCAUACUUCAAGUAUAAUUUUUUUCCACGUGUGGGUUAUGAGAUAUUGUUUAUGUUUUGAGUAAGUGUAUGUAGCACCGCUGUUAUCACGGUUUGCUGUUUCGUUUGUUUGUAUUGCAAAGUUUCACUAUUAAAUAUACUGCUCAAAAAAAUAAAGGG